CUGUUAAUGGAUGAAGAUGCGGACAAAAGGGAGGGAAAUUUGCUUUAUAUAUAUAUGUAUAUAUACACACACACACACAUACAUAUUACCAUUCAUUGUACAAAAAAAUGAUCCCAAUUUUCCCCAACUGUUAAUGGAUGAAGAUGCGGACAAAAGGGAGGGAAAUUUGCUGUGCACUGGCACAUGGGGUCGAAGCGAGGAUGUUACAAUAGAUCAGAGAUUUUCCUCUCUUUUUUUUUUUGACAAUAGAUCAGAGAUUAGGGACAUAAUGGAAUAAGGAAUAGGGGCUGAUUUGGGAAAAUCGAAGAUCAGUGAAGUUGAAUGAGAG
rnacentral:lncRNA from 1 species